UGAAACUCUGCUAGAUGAGUUCGAUCAACAGCUUCGUUCCGGAAUACGCGAUCUAUCGAGAAAUACCUCUUGGGCAUGAAAGGUUUCUGCUGAGCUAGCUUAUAAAGCAUUCUUGCAGAAACAGCAGUUGUGUGAGUUCGGAGCACAUUUUUCUCUGCUUCCUCCAGUUUCCAGUCAUAUCCAUAUCCUUUCGACCCAUAACCACCAGACUCAUG
rnacentral:misc_RNA from 1 species